rnacentral:rRNA from 1 species
UACAGAGGGUGCUAGCGUUGUUCGGAAUCAUUGGGCGUAAAGGGCGUGUAGGCGGUUUGUUAAGUCAUGUGUGAAAUCCCUCGGCUCAACCGGGGAACGACGCAUGAAACUGGCAAGCUAGAGUACCAAAGAGGGGGGUGGAAUUCCCGGUGUAGCGGUGAAAUGCGUAGAUAUCGAGAGGAACACCUGUGGCGAAGGCGGCCCCCUGGUUGGAUACUGACGCUGAUACGCGAAAGCGUGGGGAGCAAACAGG